AGUGAACGCUAGCGGUAGGCCUAACACAUGCAAGUCGAACGGCAGCACAGUAAGAGCUUGCUCUUACGGGUGGCGAGUGGCGGACGGGUGAGGAAUACAUCGGAAUCUACUUUUUCGUGGGGGAUAACGUAGGGAAACUUACGCUAAUACCGCAUACGACCUACGGGUGAAAGCAGGGGAUCUUCGGACCUUGCGCGAUUGAAUGAGCCGAUGUCGGAUUAGCUAGUUGGCGGGGUAAAGGCCCACCAAGGCGACGAUCCGUAGCUGGUCUGAGAGGAUGAUCAGCCACGCUGGAACUGAGACACGGUCCAGACUCCUACGGGAGGCAGCAGUGGGGAAUAUUGGACAAUGGGCGCAAGCCUGAUCCAGCCAUACCGCGUGGGUGAAGAAGGCCUUCGGGUUGUAAAGCCCUUUUGUUGGGAAAGAAAAGCAGCAGGUUAAUACCCCGCUGUUCUGACGGUACCCAAAGAAUAAGCACCGGCUAACUUCGUG
rnacentral:rRNA from 1 species